rnacentral:tRNA from 1 species
AGAUAGGAAACUUAAAGUACUAUGGUUUCGACCCAUAUUAAGGUGUCUCUCACCCUUAUCUU